GUAGACUAGUAUUCAAGCCUCGGCCUUCUGCCCGCUUCUGUCGAGUCCUUACUGGUCCAAAUCGGUCAGCGUAACCCAUUUCCCCAGCUACGCCACGCCCGGGGAGGAGUCCCCAUCUACGUACUGGACGCCACCUCAUCUUGUCGUUUGUGUCUGACACGCCCAGAGCCCAUUGAAGUUGGGGAGGCCGAAGUCCAGAGAGAUUACCUGCUCUAGGGUAAGCCAGCUGCCAUGUUGUGAGGAUACUCAAGCAGCCCUAUGGAAAGGUCUAUGUGGGGAAAAACGCCAACAAUGACUUGCCAGGCACAGGAGUGAGCCACCUUACAAAUGGAUCUUCUAGUCCAAGUCAAGCCUCCACAUGACUGCAGCCUGAUUGACCCUUGACAGCAACCUCUUGAGACGCUGAAUCAGAACUACCCAGCUCUCAAAUUCCGGAUUCACAGCACCUGUGAUCCAAUAAAUGUUUUUGGGCCAAUUACACUAUAAUAGAUAACUGA